AUUUACAAAUUUAUUUAGUUAAUUUUUAAAUAAAAUAUUAUUAUUUUUUAUUAAUAAUUAAUGAAAAAAUUUAAUUUAUUAUAGUUAAUAGUAUAGUGAUAGAAUAUUGAAAUAUUUGAAAAUUAAAAUUUAUUUAAAGAAUAAUUGAUUUUUAGUACCUUGUGUAUCAGGGUUUAUUAAUAAAUAUUUAUAAAUUUAAAUUUCUCGAUUUUAAAAGAGUUAAAUAUAUAUAAUUUUUAAUGUGAAAUAAUUAUUAUUAAUAUAUAUUUAGUAAUGAAACGUUAUUCGUUUUUAAAUAUAUCUAGUUUUUUAAGAAAUAAAUUUAAUUUAGAAUACAAUAUAAUUUAUUUUAAUUUAUUAAUUUAAUUUUAUUGUGUUUUUAUAUUUUAAGGGAUAAGCUUUAAAAUAAAUUUGUAUAAAUUAUUUAUUUAGUAAUUAAAAAUAGGAUUAAAAAUUUCUUUUUUUUAUAAUUUGUUAUAAUUAAUUUUUUAAUUUAAUUAUUUAUAAAAAUUUUACUUUUUAUAUUAAAAAAAUUUAUUUAAUUAAAAAAUAAAUGUAAUAAUGAUAAAAUUAGUAUAAUAAAUUGUAUAAAUAAUUAAUUAUUAUAAGGUUAGUUUAAGGAAUUCGGCAAAAUAAUUCUUCGCCUGUUUAAUAAAAACAUGUCUUUUUGAUUAUAAUUUAAAGUCUGACCUGCCCAAUGAAUAAUUUAAUGGCCGCAGUAUUUUGACUGUGCAAAGGUAGCAUAAUCAUUAGUUUUUUAAUUGAAAGCUGGAAUGAAUGGUUGGACGAGGGAAUUACUGUCUCAAAUUAAUUUAAUUAAAAUUUUAUUUUUAAGUUAAAAAGCUUAAAUAAAUUUAAAAGACGAGAAGACCCUAUAGAGUUUUAUAUUUAAUUUAAUUAAUUUUUUAUAAUUUUUUGUAUUAAUUUAAAUAUUUUGUUGGGGUGAUAAAUAAAUUUAAUAAACUUUAUUUUUUUUUUUACAUAAAUAAGUGAUUAAUUGAUCCAUUAUUAAUGAUUAAAAGAUUAAAUUACCUUAGGGAUAACAGCGUUAUCUUUUUAGAGAGUUCAAAUCGAAAAAAAGGAUUGCGACCUCGAUGUUGGAUUAAAAUUUAUUUUUGGUGUAGAAGCUAAAAUAUUAAGUCUGUUCGACUUUUAAAAUUUUACAUGAUCUGAGUUUAAACCGGCGUGAGCCAGGUUGGUUUCUAUCUUUAAAUAAAAAAAAUAUUUUAGUACGAAAGGACCAAAUAUUUAAAUUUUCUUUUUAUUUUUGAAUAUUAAU
rnacentral:rRNA from 1 species